AAUGAACGUUGGCGGCGUGGAUUAGGCAUGCAAGUCGUGCGAUAACCCCGCAAGGGGGGAAAGCGGCGAAAGGGAGAGUAACGCGUGGGUACCUGCCCCUUGGUCCGGAAUAGCUGCGGGAAACUGCAGGUAAUGCCGGAUAACAUCCUCGGAUCAAAGGUGUGAUUCCGCCGAGGGAGGGGCCCGCGUUCUAUUAGCUAGUUGGUAGGGUAAUGGCCUACCAAGGCGACGAUGGGAUACCGGGUGUGAGAGCAUGACCCGGCUCACUGGGACUGAGACACUGCCCAGACACCUACGGGUGGCAG
rnacentral:rRNA from 1 species